CGGACGGGUGAGUAACGCGUGGGGAACCUGCCCUGUACAGGGGGAUAACACUUAGAAAUAGGUGCUAAUACCGCAUAAGCGCACAGUAUCGCAUGAUACAGUGUGGAAAACUCCGGUGGUACAGGAUGGACCCGCGUCUGAUUAGCUGGUUGGCGGGGUAACGGCCCACCAAGGCGACGAUCAGUAGCCGGCCUGAGAGGGUGAACGGCCACAUUGGGACUGAGACACGGCCCAAACUCCUACGGAAGGCAGCAG
rnacentral:rRNA from 1 species